rnacentral:rRNA from 1 species
UACGGGGGGAGCAAGCGUUGUUCGGAUUUACUGGGCGUAAAGGGCGCGUAGGCGGUCAGCACAAGUCAGUUGUGAAAUCUCCGGGCUUAACCCGGAAAGGUCAACUGAUACUGUGCGACUAGAGUGCGGAAGGGGCAACUGGAAUUCUCGGUGUAGCGGUGAAAUGCGUAGAUAUCGAGAGGAACACCUGCGGCGAAGGCGGCCUGCUGGGCCUUGUCUGACGCUGAGGCGCGAAAGCGUGGGGAGCGAACAGG